AUUGAACGCUGGCGGCAUGCCUUACACAUGCAAGUCGAACGGCAGCACGGGUUCUUGCCCCUGGUGGCGAGUGGCGAACGGGUGAGUAAUACAUCGGAACAUGUCCUGUAGUGGGGGAUAGCCCGGCGAAAGCCGGAUUACUACCGCCUACUAUCCACGGAUGAAAGCGGGGGACCUUCGGGCCUCGCGCUAUAGGGUUGGCCGAUGGCUGAUUAGCUAGUUGGUGGGGUAAAGGCCUACCAAGGCGACGAUCAGUAGCUGGUCUGAGAGGACGACCAGCCACACUGGGACUGAGACACGGCCCAGACUCCUACGGGAGGCAGCAGUGGGGAAUUUUGGACAAUGGGCGAAAGCCUGAUCCAGCAAUGCCGCGUGUGUGAAGAAGGCCUUCGGGUUGUAAAGCACUUUUGUCCGGAAAGAAAUCCUUGACUCUAAUACAGUCGGGGGAUGACGGUACCGGAAGAAUAAGCACCGGCUAACUACGUG
rnacentral:rRNA from 1 species